rnacentral:lncRNA from 1 species
ACCGUGCCUGGCCUCUACUGUCUAAUUUUUUACUUAUUACAUUUCACUUUUCUUAAAAACCUAAUCAUUAGUCACUUCUUUUAAGCACUGGUCUGCAAUUGACCUUUAAACCACCAUCAAUGACCCAGUUCAUCCUGAGUGCAAUUAGUUUCUCUGGGAUGAUGGUAGGUUCUUGGGUGGUAGGCUACCCCUGUGCUUGCUGCCACAUGAAAUCUUUGGUAAUAAGAAGUUCUGAAUGUACAUCAACACAGCUUUGAUUGUGAGCAAUUCUUCCUUGGGAGCAGCAGAAACAAUAAUUCUUGAGAUAUAAUUCACAUCUCACACAAU